GGCCCUAUAGCUCAACGGAUAGAGUUCCGGCCUUCUAAGCCGGCCGUGCUGGUUCGAUUCCAGCUAGGGUCA
rnacentral:tRNA from 1 species